rnacentral:tRNA from 1 species
UCCGCCAUGGUGUAAUCGGCAACACUCCGGUUUUUGGUACCGGCAUUCUAGGUUCGAGUCCUAGUGGCGGAAC